rnacentral:rRNA from 1 species
UAGGGAAUCUUCGGCAAUGGGGGGAACCCUGACCGAGCAACGCCGCGUGAGUGAAGAAGGUUUUCGGAUCGUAAAGCUCUGUUGUUAAGGAAGAACGAGUGUGAGAAUGGAAAGUUCAUGCUGUGACGGUACUUAACCAGAAAGGGACGGCUAACUACGUGCCAGCAGCCGCGGUAAUACGUAGGUCCCGAGCGUUGUCCAGAUUUAUUGGGCGUAAAGCGAGCGCAGGCGGUUAGAAAAGUCUGAAGUGAAAGGCAGUGGCUCAACCAUUGUAGGCUUUGGAAACUGUUUAACUUGAGUGCAGAAGGGGAGAGUGGAAUUCCAUGUGUAGCGGUGAAAUGCGUAGAUAUAUGGAGGAACACCGGUGGCGAAAGCGGCUCUCUGGUCUGUAACUGACGCUGAGGCUCGAAAGCGUGGGGAGCGAACAGG